ACGGCCAUACCUAGGCGAAAACACCAGUUCCCGUCCGAUCACUGCAGUUAAGCGUCUGAGGGUUUCGUUAGUACUAUGGUUGGAGACAACAUGGGAAUCCGGAAUGCUGUAGGCU
rnacentral:rRNA from 1 species